rnacentral:rRNA from 1 species
UACGAAGGGUGACAGCGUUACUCGGAAUUACUGGGCGUAAGGGCGCGUAGGCGGCUCGCUAAGUCGGAUGUGAAACUCUGGGCUCAACCCAGAGCCUGCAUUCGAAACUGACGAGCUCGAGUUCUGGAGGGGAAGCGGAAUUCCUGGUGUAGCGGUGGAAAUGCGUAGAUAUCAGGAGGAACACCGGUGGCGAAGGCGGCUUUCUGGACAGAAACUGACGCUGAUGCGCGAAAGCUAGGGGAGCAAACAGG